UCGCUGAGCAAUUUUAUUGUAAUUGUAAAAUCACUAAAGGGUGGUUUGGUUUAGUUUGAAAACAAGAUAUGAUUAGAUUAUUUAUACUGGAAUUAUUUAUUUUAUGAUUAGUUAUUCUGAUAUUAUUUUUUAUUGAUUGUUUGGUGUGUUGUAUUAAUCUUGAGAUUGUCAAUUUUACUGGGAUUACUAGUUCACUGUCCGGUAUUAAAGUUAUUCUUGUAUUAUUUUUAAUAUAAAAUAACUUAUCCCAAAAUUAAGUACCAUACAAGAAAUAAGGUAAUAUUAAAUUUUUAUCCCAAAAUUACUUUACAAACAAACCCGGAGUAAUCACUUUUAUCCUCCUGUUUCCAAAAACAAUUCUAAAGUGGAUUUAACAUUCAUCAGAUUGUUUACAGACUUCAUAUGGUGUCACUAACCUUUCCUUAUCAGAAAGUCAAGCUAUUGCUAAAGACAAAACGUAAAAUACACAUAGGUCAAUUAUUUAGGAAAUCUCUUAGGUCCAAAAUUUAUAAGGUCUCUAUCUCUCCUCUGUGAAACUCUCACUUCUGAGAAUUUCACUCAUCAGCAAGAGCUAUUCGUAGGAUUUUAAGAUAAUACGAUUUUCAAGAUCUGAAGAAAGCUAUCUGUUGCAAGUUUCAAUUUUAGAGAGAGAAGAUGUCAUCAUCAUCUGAAGGGAGGUAUAAUUUGUACAGCCAAGGUAGUAGUGGGUGGACAUCAAUGAGGAAUGAAGAAUUUCAAGAAGAAGACAUUUGGAGUAAUUUUAUCAACGAAAGACGCGAAAUUGGCUCUAAUUUCAGCAAAAGUAAAGAGUCAUCUUCAAAUUUCAGUUCAAGGAGGCUGCCCACUGCAGUCAAAAUGAUCCCAAGAUCAAACAAGAAUUCAAUUCACGAACCUAAAAUAGCUCAGCAAUCAGCCCCAGUAAACAUACCCGAUUGGUCAAAAAUUUACGGGACAAGCUCAAAAAAGACCUCAUGGCGUGAUGGUAAUAGUGAUGAUUCUGGUGGUGGAGGAUAUAGUUUUGUAAGAAAUAAUUGCGAAAGCGAUGAAGAAGAAGAAGAAGAUGAUGAUGAAGGAGAAACGAUGCCUCCACAUCAAUGGCUUGCUAAAAAACAUGAAAGAAGCCAAAUAUCUUCUUUCUCAGUGUGUGAAGGUAUUGGAAGAACUUUAAAAGGCAGAGAUUUGAGCAGAGUGAGAAAUGCAAUCUUAAGCAAAACAGGGUUCCUUGAAUAGCAUGAGCUUUAAUAGGAGUAAUUGAUACUGAGAAUUCGUAUAGUUGUUCCUAAUUUGUUUAGAAUUGAGGCUUAACGAUUGUUAUUGUUGUAUUAUAGUCGUAUAAAUUAUGCAGUGAUGGUUGAUAAUCAUAAGGCAUUAGCAGUAGGAUUUGAUUAGUAGUGGAAUUAAUACUGAAAUUGGGUUCCACAAGCAAUUCUGGUGGUUCUAUUGUUUAAUGCAAUUCCUUUGUGGUUGUUUUUUGUCAUUACAAGUAUUAGGUCCAACAGUAUUACAGCCUCAUCUCAAGGAAAUAAAAGGGAGGAGUGAUUCUGAGCUAUAUAGAUGUUAUGGAACGAAUUCGAGUUAUUUGGAGCUUUGAAGUCUCAGUAAAAGCUCAAAGGAUUAAGCCGAGAUCGUCUUCGGGGGUCGAGGAUCAAUUCUGGACGUCAAAAUUCAGGGAAGAAGCAACUGCUGAAGAAAUGCACUAGUGCGAGGCACUGUUCGACGCACUGUGCGACGCAUUAGUGUAAUUUUAUGUCAGAAAUUUCCCUAGUUCAGAGACUGAGUUUUUUGGUCUGACAUGAAAAAGCACUAGUGCGACGCAUGAAAAGCAAUAAGUUUGCAAAGUUUCCUAUUUCGGCUAGGAAAGGGAGAUUUCGUCUAGGCCCAACCCUACUUGGUAUAAAUACAUGUAAAAACGUUAUUUUGAGAGACUUUUGACAUACU